rnacentral:rRNA from 1 species
GAGGCGAUGAAGGACGUGCUAAUCUGCGAUAAGCGUCGGUAAGGUGAUAUGAACCGUUAUAACCGGCGAUUUCCGAAUGGGGAAACCCAGUGUGUUUCGAUACACUAUCAUUAACUGAAUCCAUAGGUUAAUGAGGCGAACCGGGGGAACUGAAACAUCUAAGUACCCCGAGGAAAAGAAAUCAACCGAGAUUCCCCCAGUAGCGGCGAGCGAACGGGGAGCAGCCCAGAGCCUGAAUCAGUGUGUGUGUUAGUGGAAGCGUCUGGAAAGGCGCGCGAUACAGGGUGACAGCCCCGUACACAAAAAUGCACAUGCUGUGAGCUCGAUGAGUAGGGCGGGACACGUGGUAUCCUGUCUGAAUAUGGGGGGACCAUCCUCCAAGGCUAAAUACUCCUGACUGACCGAUAGUGAACCAGUACCGUGAGGGAAAGGCGAAAAGAACCCCGGCGAGGGGAGUGAAAAAGAACCUGAAACCGUGUACGUACAAGCAGUGGGAGCACGCUUAGGCGUGUGACUGCGUACCUUUUGUAUAAUGGGUCAGCGACUUAUAUUCUGUAGCAAGGUUAACCGAAUAGGGGAGCCGAAGGGAAACCGAGUCUUAACUGGGCGUUAAGUUGCAGGGUAUAGACCCGAAACCCGGUGAUCUAGCCAUGGGCAGGUUGAAGGUUGGGUAACACUAACUGGAGGACCGAACCGACUAAUGUUGAAAAAUUAGCGGAUGACUUGUGGCUGGGGGUGAAAGGCCAAUCAAACCGGGAGAUAGCUGGUUCUCCCCGAAAGCUAUUUAGGUAGCGCCUCGUGAAUUCAUCUCCGGGGGUAGAGCACUGUUUCGGCAAGGGGGUCAUCCCGACUUACCAACCCGAUGCAAACUGCGAAUACCGGAGAAUGUUAUCACGGGAGACACACGGCGGGUGCUAACGUCCGUCGUGAAGAGGGAAACAACCCAGACCGCCAGCUAAGGUCCCAAAGUCAUGGUUAAGUGGGAAACGAUGUGGGAAGGCCCAGACAGCCAGGAUGUUGGCUUAGAAGCAGCCAUCAUUUAAAGAAAGCGUAAUAGCUCACUGGUCGAGUCGGCCUGCGCGGAAGAUGUAACGGGGCUAAACCAUGCACCGAAGCUGCGGCAGCGACGCUGAUGCGUUGUUGGGUAGGGGAGCGUUCUGUAAGCCUGCGAAGGUGUGCUGUGAGGCAUGCUGGAGGUAUCAGAAGUGCGAAUGCUGACAUAAGUAACGAUAAAGCGGGUGAAAAGCCCGCUCGCCGGAAGACCAAGGGUUCCUGUCCAACGUUAAUCGGGGCAGGGUGAGUCGACCCCUAAGGCGAGGCCGAAAGGCGUAGUCGAUGGGAAACAGGUUAAUAUUCCUGUACUUGGUGUUACUGCGAAGGGGGGACGGAGAAGGCUAUGUUGGCCGGGCGACGGUUGUCCCGGUUUAAGCGUGUAGGCUGGUUUUCCAGGCAAAUCCGGAAAAUCAAGGCUGAGGCGUGAUGACGAGGCACUACGGUGCUGAAGCAACAAAUGCCCUGCUUCCAGGAAAAGCCUCUAAGCAUCAGGUAACAUCAAAUCGUACCCCAAACCGACACAGGUGGUCAGGUAGAGAAUACCAAGGCGCUUGAGAGAACUCGGGUGAAGGAACUAGGCAAAAUGGUGCCGUAACUUCGGGAGAAGGCACGCUGAUAUGUAGGUGAAGUCCCUCGCGGAUGGAGCUGAAAUCAGUCGAAGAUACCAGCUGGCUGCAACUGUUUAUUAAAAACACAGCACUGUGCAAACACGAAAGUGGACGUAUACGGUGUGACGCCUGCCCGGUGCCGGAAGGUUAAUUGAUGGGGUUAGCGCAAGCGAAGCUCUUGAUCGAAGCCCCGGUAAACGGCGGCCGUAACUAUAACGGUCCUAAGGUAGCGAAAUUCCUUGUCGGGUAAGUUCCGACCUGCACGAAUGGCGUAAUGAUGGCCAGGCUGUCUCCACCCGAGACUCAGUGAAAUUGAACUCGCUGUGAAGAUGCAGUGUACCCGCGGCAAGACGGAAAGACCCCGUGAACCUUUACUAUAGCUUGACACUGAACAUUGAGCCUUGAUGUGUAGGAUAGGUGGGAGGCUUUGAAGUGUGGACGCCAGUCUGCAUGGAGCCGACCUUGAAAUACCACCCUUUAAUGUUUGAUGUUCUAACGUGGACCCGUAAUCCGGGUUGCGGACAGUGUCUGGUGGGUAGUUUGACUGGGGCGGUCUCCUCCUAAAGAGUAACGGAGGAGCACGAAGGUUGGCUAAUCCUGGUCGGACAUCAGGAGGUUAGUGCAAUGGCAUAAGCCAGCUUGACUGCGAGCGUGACGGCGCGAGCAGGUGCGAAAGCAGGUCAUAGUGAUCCGGUGGUUCUGAAUGGAAGGGCCAUCGCUCAACGGAUAAAAGGUACUCCGGGGAUAACAGGCUGAUACCGCCCAAGAGUUCAUAUCGACGGCGGUGUUUGGCACCUCGAUGUCGGCUCAUCACAUCCUGGGGCUGAAGUAGGUCCCAAGGGUAUGGCUGUUCGCCAUUUAAAGUGGUACGCGAGCUGGGUUUAGAACGUCGUGAGACAGUUCGGUCCCUAUCUGCCGUGGGCGCUGGAGAACUGAGGGGGGCUGCUCCUAGUACGAGAGGACCGGAGUGGACGCAUCACUGGUGUUCGGGUUGUCAUGCCAAUGGCACUGCCCGGUAGCUAAAUGCGGAAGAGAUAAGUGCUGAAAGCAUCUAAGCACGAAACUUGCCCCGAGAUGAGUUCUCCCUGACCCUUUAAGGGUCCUGAAGGAACGUUGAAGACGACGACGUUGAUAGGCCGGGUGUGUAAGCGCAGCGAUGCGUUGAGCUAACCGGUACUAAUGAACCGUGAGGCUUAACCUU